rnacentral:rRNA from 1 species
UACGUAGGGGGCUAGCGUUAUCCGGAAUUACUGGGCGUAAAGGGUGCGUAGGUGGUUUCUUAAGUCAGAGGUGAAAGGCUACGGCUCAACCGUAGUAAGCCUUUGAAACUGAGAGACUUGAGUGCAGGAGAGGAGAGUAGAAUUCCUAGUGUAGCGGUGAAAUGCGUAGAUAUUAGGAGGAACACCAGUUGCGAAGGCGGCUCUCUGGACUGUAACUGACACUGAGGCACGAAAGCGUGGGGAGCAAACAGGAUUAGAUACCCUGGUAGUCCCU